AUCAUUUGCAUCUUUGCCCAUAGCACCAAGUAAAACUCCUCCAUCCUUAUGCUUAACAAAUAUUGCAUCUAUGAAUAUUAGAGGUCUACAACUUUUUAUGAAACUAUUGAUUGAGGCUUUAAAUGAAAUGAAUAGACAUCUAAAUCGAUCUUCAGUGGUUUCGUACACCACUAUAUUGUCAGAAUUGGUUUGAAGAAUGGC
rnacentral:lncRNA from 1 species